rnacentral:rRNA from 1 species
UACGUAGGGUGCAAGCGUUAAUCGGAAUUACUGGGCGUAAAGCGUGCGCAGGCGGUAAUGUAAGACAGAUGUGAAAUCCCCGGGCUCAACCUGGGAACUGCAUUUGUGACUGCAUUGCUGGAGUGCGGCAGAGGGGGAUGGAAUUCCGCGUGUAGCAGUGAAAUGCGUAGAUAUGCGGAGGAACACCGAUGGUGAAGGCAAUCCCCUGGGCCUGCACUGACGCUCAUGCACGAAAGCGUGGGGAGCAAACAGG